ACUAUAACGAAAUUGACCAGACCCAGCUCGCCUCGGUCAAGAGGACGAAACAAAACGAUAGCUCAAAUUAAUUAUUUUAGCUUAAACGCGCAUGUGACACCCUUCAUAUAGCAACAUUCAUAGACUACGAAAACCGCUUAGCGUUGCUUGUUAGUCUCCAUAGGCUACGGCGGCCAAAAU